GACAGGUGGUGCAUGGUUGUCGUCAGCUCGUGUCGUGAGAUGUUGGGUUAAGUCCCGCAACGAGCGCAACCCUUACAUUUAGUUGCUACGCAAGAGCACUCUAGAUGGACUGCCGUUGACAAAACGGAGGAGGGUGGGGAUGACGUCAAAUCAUCAUGCCCCUUAUGACCUGGGCUACACACGUACUACAAUGGCUAUUAACAGAGGGAAGCAAAACAGUGAUGUGGAGCAAACCCCUAAAAAUAGUCUCAGUUCGGAUUGUAGGCUGCAACUCGCCUACAUGAAGCCGGAAUUGCUAGUAAUCGCGGAUCAGCAUGCCGCGGUGAAUACGUUCCCGGGCCUUGUACACACCGCCCGUCACACCAUGAGAGUUGGCAACACCCGAAGUCAGUAGUCUAACCGCAAGGAGGACGCUGCCGAAGGUGGGGUUGAUGAUUAGGGUGAAGUCGUAACAAGGUAGCCGUAUCGGAAGGUGCGGCUGGAUCACCUC
rnacentral:rRNA from 1 species